rnacentral:rRNA from 1 species
CUGGGAUAACUCCGGGAAACCGGAGCUAAUACCGGAUAGUUCCUUGAACCGCAUGGUUCAAGGAUGAAAGACGGUUUCGGCUGUCACUUACAGAUGGACCCGCGGCGCAUUAGCUAGUUGGUGGGGUAAUGGCUCACCAAGGCGACGAUGCGUAGCCGACCUGAGAGGGUGAUCGGCCACACUGGGACUGAGACACGGCCCAGACUCCUACGGGAGGCAGCAGUAGGGAAUCUUCCGCAAUGGACGAAAGUCUGACGGAGCAACGCCGCGUGAGUGAUGAAGGUUUUCGGAUCGUAAAGCUCUGUUGUUAGGGAAGAACAAGUGCGAGAGUAACUGCUCGCACCUUGACGGUACCUAACCAGAAAGCCACGGCUAACUACGUGCCAGCAGCCGCGGUAAUACGUAGGUGGCAAGCGUUGUCCGGAAUUAUUGGGCGUAAAGGGCUCGCAGGCGGUUUCUUAAGUCUGAUGUGAAAGCCCCCGGCUCAACCGGGGAGGGUCAU